CAGUAGCCGCGGGAAUACGAGGGGAGCUAGCGUUAUUCGGAAUUACUGGGCGUAAAGCGCACGUAGGCGGCUUUGUAAGUUAGAGGUGAAAGCCCAGAGUUCAACUCUGGAAUUGCCUUUAAGACUGCAUCGCUUGAAUCCAGGAGAGGUGAGUGGAAUUCCGAGUGUAGAGGUGAAAUUCGUAGAUAUUCGGAAGAACACCAGUGGCGAAGGCGGCUCACUGGACUGGUAUUGACGCUGAGGUGCGAAAGCGUGGGGAGCAAACAGGAUUAGAGACCCCUGUAGUCCCUGUCUCUUAUAA
rnacentral:rRNA from 1 species